AUGUUGGUCCCCUACCAUUCCUUGGCUUUCUCCCUUGUGGAGGCCCCUUUACCCUUGAAGAUCAAGAUCUUUGUUUGGCAACUCCUUAGAGAUCGUCUCCCUUCGGGGACCGAGGUGCUUAAGCGGCAAGGCCCGGGUGAUGGCUUGUGCACCUUAUGCACGGUGCCUAAGAAUGGGACUCGCAUCCUAUUCUCAUGUACCGCGGCUCGGGUCUUGAGGACGUUCAUCCAUGAGGCACUAGGGCCCGACUGGGUGGCCCUAGACCUCGCGGAGUUCCUCCAAACCAGGGCUACCCAACCUGGGCGGCAUCGCCGCUUAUUUUGGCUUAUUUUGCGGCCAUGUCGUGGACUCUUUGGACAACUCGUGAUAAAAUAG
rnacentral:rRNA from 1 species